AAAAGAGCGGGUUCGGCGAGUCGGGCGGCGCGCAGACCUGGGCUCUCAGCCGGGCUUAUCGGACCGGAGGCCCUUUGCCCCAGCGCGCAAGAGCAAAGGCAACAGGAAGGAAGCAGGAAGGCACUCUGGCGGCCCUACCCCGACCCGCCCGGGACCUGGGGGGCCUGGAUUUUCUCACGGAGGGGGAGGCCUCUCCCCGUUCCCAUCGCUACCCCGGGCGUCCCACCCAGAGUGGGAGACAGAAGGUGCUUCCAGUGUCCCAAUGGGGGUGGGCCAGGCACGGAGCAGCCAAGCUGAGCCCACAGCCCCUGGGAGCACUGGGCGCGGCAGGAGCCCUGCGUCCCCGGGAUAAGCCUGCCAGGAAGCAGCAGCACAGGAGGGCAAGCAAGGUCACGACACUGCAACGGAUCACCAGGAGGGGCCAUCACAGCUGAAAAAUGCGCCCGGAACAGUCCACCGGAAGGCCAUGGCUGAUCCUCCAACUUUCCUGGCUCAAGAGUUCAGCUCAUCCUUCCGGGCUGGGAGCCUGCUGUCCAGGAACCACCAGGGAGGAUGUGCGAGGGAUGGGGUGCUGUCUGCCCCGGGUCCAGGAGGCCAAGACCACCUCUCCCAGGAAGUCGGCGCCUUUAGGCUGGAAGAGCCUGGCCCCCACGCGGGUGCUCACCUCUGUGGGCCUGGGGCCAGUCCUGAAAAGGUCAGCUCCUGCCACAGAGGGA